rnacentral:lncRNA from 1 species
UGUCUUGUUAAAGUGCUUACUUUUCCCAUGAGGGAUUCAGAUAAUUUGUUUUCUCUUUGGUUUGGAUAUUAGGGGUAAUUUCUCCCCUUAAAAAUCGAGUUCUGAAGGAAGUGGCUGUAUUUUUAUCAUUAUCCUAAAAGACUACAGUUCCGAUUGGACCCCUAGCCCUAAAGUGCGGCCCUAAAAAGCCAAAAAAAAAAAAAAAGGCUUUUUUCUUCAGAAUGCUUAGUAGUUGAUUUUGUAGCCUAAACUUUCUAGACUGGUGCAGUGGGGAAAGGAACCAGGAAAGGUAGGGGCUGGGCUUGAUUGAAUUGUUCACCCAUUUGCUGAUGGAGCCAGAAAAAAACCCAUAACAGCAGAUGUACAAAUUUUCAUCUGUAAUAUUUAUUUAAAACAGGUAUGUCUGAGAGUAUAUGCUUGGGUAAAUUAUAUAUUGAAUUCUACUGCUUAGUAUGAUUGUGUUCAACUAGAUGCAUUUAGUAUUAACUGUGAGAUAUGCUGCAGCAAUAAUAAGAAAUGCAGUGGGUGCCUUUCUGCUGUUAUCAAAAUCCAUUAACAAGUUUUGCUGUGCUUGACUGCUCUCCAUUGUUAGGCUUUAUGGUUCAGACUAAAGCUGUAGAUGUAAAUGACAUCCUUUCUACAACACUUUCUCAAGGUCUCACAGACAAUGAUGUUGUAUUUUGAGCAAACAUUUGUUUACUCCAUAGUAAUAGUUGAUGCUAGACAGCUAUGGUUUGCUUUAGUUCUGCCCCUCUGUUUUAUGUAGGAUUUUAGCCAGGUAGAGAAAAGUAGUUGAUAGUAUUCUUUUUUUUUUUUUUCCUUCUUUUUUCUUUCUUUCUUUCCCCCCCCCUUUUUUUUUUUUUUUUUGACCAUACGCACAGCAUAAAGAAGUUGCUGGGCCAGGAAUUGAUCCCGUGCUACAGUUGUGACCUGUGCUGCAACUGCAGCCACGCUGGAUCUUUAACCUGCUGCACCACAUGGGUGUUGGCAGUGUUCUUGAGAUUCUCGAAACUACAGUGACUCCUGACACCCACUCUUCUUUAUUGCUUUAGCUACAGAGAGACAAGAGCUCAGGCCCAGGGAUAACCUUUGGUGUAGAAGAUCCUGUGAAAAGUGGGUAAAGCUGAUUCUUAAGCCACUAAAGCCAAGAAACAAACAAGCAAACCAAAAUUUAGUUUUUGGAGUAGGAGUUUAAAUGUAGGAAAUCUUCUCUUUGCAAGGUGCAAGAUGUUAUGUCAUGAUGUUGAGUGUUUAUUGGUUUUUGUUUGCUUUUUUAAGGGUUGAGAUCUUUUAAGAAUUUUAGAAUCUUCAUUUCUUUAGCUAUUUAAAAAUUUUUUAUUCUUUUGCUUUUUUAGGGCCUCACCUGCAGCAUAUGGAAGCUCCUAGGUUAGGGGUUGAAUCAGAGCUAUAGCUGCCAGUCUGUGUGCUACAGCCACAGCAAUGCAGGAUCCAAGCCAUGUUUGUGACCUUUACCAUAGCUCAUGGCAACGGCUAGAUCCCUGACCCACUGUGUGAAGCUAGGGAUCGAACCCAAAUCCUCAUGGAUACUAGUUGGAUUUGUUUCUGCAGCACCACAAUGGGAACUCCUCUUUAGCUAUUUAAAGAUUUGGAAUAAAGAUUUAGAAACUUUUGGAGUUCCCAUCGUGGCACAGUGAAUAUGAAUCCGACCAGAAACCAUGAGGUUACCGGUUCCAUCCCUGGCUUCACUCAGUGGGUUAAGGAUCCGGCAUUGUCCUGAGCUGUGGUGUAGGUUGCAGAUGCAGCUCGGAUCCCUCGUUGCUGUGGCUGUGGUGUAGGCUGGCAGCUAUAUCUGUGAUUAGACCCUUAGCCUGGGAACCUCUGUAUGCUGUGAGUGCGGCCCUAAAAAGACAAAAAAAAAAAAAAGAUUUAGAAACUUUUUUUGGGGGGGGCAGUAGCAGAUCACUUUAUUAAUCGGAGGAAAACUGUGCACUGCCUUUCCAGAAAAAGACAUGCAUACAUUCACUCAACAAGUUUAUUCAGCAGGUGUAUCAAAUGACUACUACCAGACAUAUUUAAAGAUGUUCAGAAUAUAUCAGUGAACAAAAUAGAAAAAAGAACCCCAGUCCUCCAAAACCUUGUCCCUUGUGGCACUUACAUUUUAGUGGAGUCAGCAAGCACUAAACAUAGUAAGUAGGAACAUUGUGCAGUGUAUGAGGAUGUGGUAAGCACUGUGGAAAAAAUACGAUACAGAAGGGAAGCCUGGUGGUUGUUGCAGUUUAAACAGAAGUUCAGGAUAGGCCUGAUAGGAUGAUAUUUGAGCAAAAGGUUCUAGGUGGUGCUCAAAUUAGUCAUUUGGAGUUCUGGGCUUUGAGCAUGCCAGGCAGAGGGUGGGAGCAAGGAAAACAGCAUGGUUGGAGCCGGACAACAAGGAGAAGGGUGGGUGUUAGUUUUCUGGGGUUGCUGGGUGACUCAGAUCGACAGAAAUGUAUUCUAGGCCAGGAGUCUGAAGCAAAGGUGUGGGCAGAGUUGGUCCCUUCUGGAGGCUGAGUAGUAUUCAUCCCCUGCUUCUCUCCUAGCUUCUGGUGGCUGCCAGCAUCCCUGGGCUUACAGACCAUCACUCCAGUCUCUGCCUCUGGGUUUACUUCUCUGUCUCAUCUCUCUGUACAUGUCAUCAGUUUUAGGACCCACCCCAAAUCCAGGAUGAUCUCAUCUUAAAAUCCUUAGCAGUUGGGAGUUCCCGUCGUGGCUCAGUGGUUAACGAAUCCAACUAGGAACCAUGAGGUUGUGGGUUUGAUCUCUGGCCUCGCUCAGUGGGUUAAGGAUCUGGCAUUGCUGUGAGCUGUGGUGUGGGUCGCAGAUGCAGCUCGGAUCCUGCGUUGCUGUGGCUCUGGUGUAGGCUGAUGGCUACAGCUCUGAUUAGACCCCUAGCCUGGGAACCUCCACGUGCUGUGGGAGCGGCUUGAGAAAAGGCAAAAAGACCAAAAAAAAAAAAAAAAAAAAA